rnacentral:rRNA from 1 species
GUAGGGUGCGAGCGUUAAUCGGAAUUACUGGGCGUAAAGCGUGCGCAGGCGGUUUUGUAAGCCAGAUGUGAAAUCCCCGGGCUUAACCUGGGAAUGGCAUUUGGGACUGCAAGGCUUGAGUGCGGCAGAGGAGACUGGAAUUCCUGGUGUAGCAGUGAAAUGCGUAGAUAUCAGGAGGAACACCGAUGGCGAAGGCAGGUCUCUGGGCUGACACUGACGCUCAUGCACGAAAGCGUGGGGAGCAAACAGGAUUAGAUACCCUGGUAGUCCACGCCCUAAACGAUGUCGACUGGUUGUUGGGGGUUUGACACUCUCAGUAACGAAGCUAACGCGUGAAGUCGACCGCCUGGGGAGUACGGCCGCAAGGUUA